GUUAACGUGGACCUCUUGUACUCUUCAGAUUAUUGAUCAGUAGAUUCUUGCUGGGUGUUCCAUGGUUUUUUUCUUUCUUGAAGGAUUUUUCACGUAAAAGUUUGGUGUUUCCGUCCUCUUGGUUGCUUAGUUUUUCUACUUCUAUUGGGUUAUCAUUUGCCAUUAUCAAUUAUACUUGUAAAAUAUUCCAUAACUUGCUUAGGAGGGAAGGAAUCACUUGUUCCUAACAAUGAAGACAUUUUUUUUUGUUGAAAUGG
rnacentral:lncRNA from 1 species